CUUUCUCAAUCCUCGACAAAAAAUUAAGAUGAAUACCUCCUUACCAACCGAAGAAGCAUUCGGUCAUCAGCACAGGGCAUCCGUGAAACCGAGAAGGAAGAAGACAGGUAGAACACCAACAGAACACCAACGGGAGAAAGCCAGGAAGAACACCAGCGGGAGAAAACCAAGGAGCAAGCCCGCACAAAAACACCUGCGGGAGAAAGCCAGGAAGCAAGCCCGCACAGGAACACCAGCAGGAGAAA
rnacentral:lncRNA from 1 species